GGUGGAAGUAGCAAAUAUUCAAGUGAGAACCUUGAAGACUGAAGUGGGGAAGGGUUCCAUGGUAACAGCAGUUGGACAUGGGUUAGUCGGUCCUAAGAAAUAGGGAACCUCCGUUUUAAAGAAAUGCUCUUGUUAGCAUCCACCUAUCGAAAGGGAAUGUAGUUAAAAUUCUACAACUGGGAUACAGAUUUUGACCGGCAACGUGAAUGAACUUGGUGACGUCUGCAGGGGCCCCAGGAAGAGUUUUCUUUUCUCCUUAACAAUCUGAAAACCUUGGAAGCGAAUUAUUCGGAGAUAGGGUUUAUGGAUGGGUGGGGGGAGCUUUUCCCCCCUUUGAGAGUCGGGGGGGGGCGUUGGGGGAGCCUCGGAAAAAAACGGGGGGUAAAAAAAAUUUUUUUGCCCCCCGCCCCCCACAUUUCCCCCCACGGGGCCCCCCGGGGAGAAACCUCCCUCUGGGAAAAUAAAAUAAAUGGAAAAAGGGGAAAUUGGAGAAAAAAAAAUUCCUAAAUUUUUGGAAAAAAGUAUGGGCUCUCAAGGGCAAAAAUUUGUUUGGGCCCCUUAAUAUUAUUUUUUAGGGACCUGGAAAAUAUGUAACUCUUCCGGGGGAAAA
rnacentral:ncRNA from 1 species